GACGUAGGGCGCGAGCGUUGUCCGGAUUUAUUGGGCGUAAAGAGCUCGUAGGCGGCUUGUCGCGUCGACUGUGAAAUCUCAGGGCUCAACUCUGACAUUGCAGUCGAUACGGGCAGGCUAGAGUUCGGUAGGGGAGACUGGAAUUCCUGGUGUAGCGGCGAAAUGCGCAGAUAUCAGGAGGAACACCGGUGGCGAAGGCGGGUCUCUGGGUCGAUACUGACGCUGAGGAGCGAAAGCGUGGGGAGCGAACAGG
rnacentral:rRNA from 1 species